rnacentral:tRNA from 1 species
CUUAUAAUUAAUGUUUUAUGCAUAGAUAAUUUUGAAUUAUUAAGUAAUGUUGAUAA